rnacentral:snRNA from 1 species
CCAACAAGAUUGUCGAGUUCA